rnacentral:rRNA from 1 species
UUUUGGACAAUGGGCGCAAGCCUGAUCCAGCCAUGCCGCGUGCAGGAUGAAGGCCUUCGGGUUGUAAACUGCUUUUGUACGGAACGAAAAGUCUCUUUCUAAUAAAGAGGGAUCAUGACGGUACCGUAUGAAUAAGCACCGGCUAACUACGUGCCAGCAGCCGCGGUAAUACGUAGGGUGCAAGCGUUAAUCGGAAUUACUGGGCGUAAAGCGUGCGCAGGCGGUUAUGUAAGACAGUUGUGAAAUCCCCGGGCUCAACCUGGGAACUGCAUCUGUGACUGCAUAGCUAGAGUACGGUAGAGGGGGAUGGAAUUCCGCGUGUAGCAGUGAAAUGCGUAGAUAUGCGGAGGAACACCGAUGGCGAAGGCAAUCCCCUGGACCUGUACUGACGCUCAUGCACGAAAGCGUGGGGAGCAAACAGG